CCUUGAACUUGCAAUCCUCCUGCCUCAGCCUCCUGAGCCACUGGGAUUACAGGCAGAAAUGUGCUCUGCAGUAGAGAAGAAUGAAGCUGUCCUGGAAGCAUGGCCCAGAAAGGGUCCUGAUUGUGUCUGGUACCUGCUUCUCCUUGCCUUGAUGUCCAGAUGCAUUCUGCCCUGUCCAUGCUUUGAGUGUUGAGAUAAUCCAGAUAUUCUAAUAAAUCCUCAUUUUGCUUUA